UACGUAGGAUGCGAGCGUUUGUCCGGAAUUAUUGGGCGUAAAGAGAACGUAGGCGGUUUCUUAAGUUUGGGCUUAAAGACUGGGGCUCAACCCCAGGAGUGGCUCGAAAACUGAGAGACUAGAGGAUGGCAGAGGAAAGUGGAAUUCCCAGUGUAGCGGUGAAAUGCGUAGAUAUUGGGAGGAACACCAGUGGCGAAAGCGACUUUCUGGGCCAUUCCUGACGCUGAGGUUCGAAAGCUCGGGGAGCAAACAGG
rnacentral:rRNA from 1 species